AUUGGAGAGUUUGAUCCUGGCUCAGGACGAACGCUGGCGGCGUGCCUAAUACAUGCAAGUCGAGCGGAGCUUAUCCUUCGGGGUAAGCUUAGCGGCGGACGGGUGAGUAACACGUAGGCAACCUACCCUCUAGACUGGGAUAACUACCGGAAACGGUAGCUAAUACCGGAUAAUUCCUUGACCCUCCUGGGAUAAGGAUGAAAGGCGGAGCAAU
rnacentral:rRNA from 1 species